rnacentral:rRNA from 1 species
AUUGAACGCUGGCGGCAGGCCUAACACAUGCAAGUCGAGCGGAUGAAGGGAGCUUGCUCCUGGAUUCAGCGGCGGACGGGUGAGUAAUGCCUAGGAAUCUGCCUGGUAGUGGGGGAUAACGUCCGGAAACGGGCGCUAAUACCGCAUACGUCCUGCGGGAGAAAGUGGGGGAUCUUCGGACCUCACGCUAUCAGAUGAGCCUAGGUCGGAUUAGCUAGUUGGUGGGGUAAAGGCCUACCAAGGCGACGAUCCGUAACUGGUCUGAGAGGAUGAUCAGUCACACUGGAACUGAGACACGGUCCAGACUCCUACGGGAGGCAGCAGUGGGGAAUAUUGGACAGUGGGCGAAAGCCUGAUCCAGCCAUGCCGCGUGUGUGAAAAAGGUCUUCGGAUUGUAAAGCACUUUAAGUUGGGAGGAAGGGCAGUAAGUUAAUACCUUGCUGUUUUGACGUUACCAACAGAAUAAGCACCGGCUAACUUCGUG